AUUGAACGCUGGCGGCAGGCCUAACACAUGCAAGUCGAACGAGUGGCGGACGGGUGAGUAAUGUCUGGGAAACUGCCUGAUGGCGGGGGAUAACUACUGGAAACGGUAGCUAAUACCGCAUACCAUCAGAUGUGCCCAGAUGGGAUUAGCUUGUUGGUGGGGUGACGGCUCACCAAGGCGACGAUACCUAGCGGGUCUGAGAGGAUGACCAGCCACACUGAAAGUGAGACAAGGUCCAGACUCAUACGGGAGGAAGCAGUGGAGAAUAUUGCACAAUGGGCGCGAGGCUGAUACAGCCAUGCAGCGUGUAUGAAGAAGGCCUUCGGGUUGUAUAGUACUUUCAGCGGGGAGGCGUUACCCGCAGAAGAAGCACCGGCUAACUCCGUGCCAGCAGCCGCGGUAAUUC
rnacentral:rRNA from 1 species